rnacentral:rRNA from 1 species
GAUGAACGCUAGCGGCAGGCUUAACACAUGCAAGUCGAGGGGCAUCGAGAGUAGCAAUACUUGUCGGCGACCGGCGCAAGGGUGCGUAACACGUGAGCAACAUACCCGUUUCAGGAGGAUAACCGGAGGAAACUCUGCCUAAUACUCCAUGACAUCAUCAAACGGCAUCGUUUGAUGAUUAAAGAUUUAUCGGAAACGGCUUGGCUCGCGGGACAUUAGCUUGUUGGUGAGGUAACGGCUCACCAAGGCUACGAUGUCUAGGGGUUCUGAGAGGAAGGUCCCCCACACUGGAACUGAGACACGGUCCAGACUCCUACGGGAGGCAGCAGUGAGGAAUAUUGGACAAUGGUCGGAAGACUGAUCCAGCCAUGCCGCGUGAAGGUUACUGUCCUAUGGAUAUUAAACUUCUUUUGUAUGAGAGCAAUAAGGUGCACGCGUGCACCGAUGAGAGUAUCAUACGAAUAAGCAUCGGCUAAC